rnacentral:lncRNA from 1 species
GGUCACACAUGGCCUUCUUUAUUCCCACAUUGCCUAUUUUGCAUGAAACCGCGAACAUUCCUCUAUCCUUGCAUUUGGUGGGAAGUUUCCUUUGAAUGGCAGCUGAGACACACUCCCCCACACUUACCUUUUCAUGUUCAGCAAGUUUCCUCCUAUUGGUGCAUAGUUUUUUGAGAAAUUUAGCAUACCUUGGUAUUUGUUUGAUAGCAUCAAGUAGAGGUAUAUUGAUUUCCACCUUGCGGAGUGUCUCAAGUAUCUCUUUUUCCUCUUUUUCUUUUUGAGAUCUUGCAAAUCUUUUGGGAAAAGGGUAAGGUACCUUGAAUUUUUCUGCUGGUUGUUGUUUCU